rnacentral:rRNA from 1 species
UGGGGAAUCUUGCACAAUGGGCGAAAGCCUGAUGCAGCCAUGCCGCGUGAAUGAUGACGGCCUUAGGGUUGUAAAAUUCUUUCGCCAGGGAUGAUAAUGACAGUACCUGGUAAAGAAGCCCCGGCUAACUUCGUGCCAGCAGCCGCGGUAAUACGAAGGGGGCUAGCGUUGUUCGGAAUUACUGGGCGUAAAGCGCGCGUAGGCGGGCUAUUAAGCCAGAUGUGAAAGCCCGGGGCUCAACCCCGGAAUUGCAUUUGGAACUGGUAGCCUAGAGACCAGGAGAGGUUAGCGGAAUACCGAGUGUAGAGGUGAAAUUCGUAGAUAUUCGGUGGAACACCAGUGGCGAAGGCGGCUAACUGGACUGGUACUGACGCUGAGGCGCGAAAGUGUGGGGAGCAAACAGG